AUCGUUUCAUACAGAAAUGCUAAGAACAACAAUGGCUGCUCUCUCUCACUUCCCUCUCACUCCUCUUCUCUCCAAGACUCCCAUCACCACUAUCAAAAACCUAUUUUCUCUCUCAAACCCCAAAACCCUUAAACUCUUUUGCAGCCUCAGACCGUUAUCUUCUCUCUCCUCCAACCCCAAAACCAUUGACCCGAAAUUCCUCUCAUGCUGCCUGCCUAAUAAGAAGCCUCUCAAAGUGGCUGUUCUUGUCAGCGGCGGUGUUGAUAGUAGCAUCGCUCUCCGACUCCUCCACGCCGCCGGCCAUUUCUGCACUGCUUUCUACCUUAAAAUCUGGUUCCAAGAAGACUUUGAGAAUUUUUGGUCUGAAUGCCCAUGGGAAGAAGAUAUGAGAUAUGCAAAAGCUGUUUGUGAUCAGGUUGAUGUCCCUUUGGAAGUUGUACAUUUGACAGAUGAAUACUGGACUAAUGUGGUGUCAUAUAUCAUUGAUGAGUAUCGACAUGGCCGAACCCCAAAUCCCGAUGUCCUUUGCAAUACAAGAAUAAAGUUUGGUGCAUUUAUGGAUGCCAUAGGUGGUACGAAAUUUGACUUUGUUGCCUCUGGACAUUAUGCAAGGGUUGUUCAUGGGGAUGGGGAUCAAAAAGACAAGCUUUCUAUUUUGGAACUGUCAAAAGAUAUAGUUAAGGAUCAAACAUACUUCCUUUCUCAUCUCUCACAAUCCCAGCUUAAACGGCUUAUCUUCCCUCUUGGGUGCAUUCCAAAGGAAGUAGUCCGCAGGCUUGCCCAAAUAUUUGAUUUACCUAACCAAGACAGAGAGGAUUCCCAAGGAAUAUGCUUUCUAGGCAAGAUAAAGUUUAGUGAAUUUGUUGCAAGACACAUUGGGGAGGCAGAAGGUAUAAUUUUGGAAGCUGAGACAGGAGAUUUUCUUGGAAAACAUCGAGGAUUUUGGUUUUAUACAAUUGGCCAACGUCAAGGAUUACGUCUUCCUGGGGGUCCUUGGUAUGUUGUAGAGAAAGAUGUUAAAAACAAUGUAGUCUUUGUAUCAAGAAACUAUUUCUCAGUUGACAAAAGGAGGCGUUUAUUUCGCGUUGGAUCCUUAAAAUGGCUUAGUGGGUCACCUCCAAGCCAGAUAAAUCAACUUCAAUGCAAGGUUCGACAUGGCCCGAGUUUUUAUGAUUGCAGUUUGGCAAUGGAAGUUGAUGGAGAUGGCCAUGAAAUUGCAGUUGUCAAACUAUCCGAAGAUGAUCAAGGCCUGGCAGCUGGGCAGUUUGCCGCCUUCUACCAGGAUAGGAUGUGCAUUGGAUCUGGUGUGAUCUUGGAGUCAUGGAAUGACCAAGGGUUUCCCGUUUGUUUGAGGGCUCUUGAGAUUGCCGAUAUGGAAGAUAAAUCAAAACUUGGGAAUCCAGUCAAGAUAAAGGUAAAACCAGAGAUCUGUAACGAAGAAUCUGAUCACAAAGAAUGUGUCAAUCUUAAUUGAAAAUCAUUACCUCUGAUAGAAGAGUGAUACCAAAAAUGAAGGACAAUGUACUGCUUCUAGACCUAUAGUUAUAGGUGCUCAAGGUUGCACAUCGGACGCGUCAAAAGUUUAUGAAGCUCAAUUGGUGGGAUUAUAAAAACUCAUGCCAACAACACCUGAAGAUGGUCGACAGUAGUUACAUUUUGUUAGAUUAAGAAAGUUAUGCGAGCAGUGAAUCGGGAAUAUGCAGAUCCAGGCAACAUGGAUUGUACAAAUAGCUGCUUGUCUUGGCCUGGUCAGCUUGGAUAUUUGGUUCUUGUUUGGGCAGCCAUUCGUCUCUAUCAGUUGCUUUUGAAGGAGGCGUCGGGUCUUUUGAAUUCGACCUUUGGACCUAAGAAAAAGGUAGUUUGAGACUUUGAGGGCUUUGGUUACAAACAGUGCUCAGCUACUCUCACCUUAAAAUUCAGUUUUGUCUUCACAUUGUAUUAUAUCGUAAGCUUCUUUACAUCUGAUGUUGCAUGUGUAUUUCCUGUGGUCCGUUCUGAAUUGAAUUAUUUCAAAAUUCAUUUUGUUCUUUCUUCAAAGAUUUGGUAGGUGAAAAAUUUUGUUCUUCUUA